rnacentral:rRNA from 2 species
UGCAGUCGAACGGUAACAGGGAGCAGCUUGCUGCUCCGCUGACGAGUGGCGGACGGGUGAGUAAUGUCUGGGGAUCUGCCCGAUGGAGGGGGAUAACCACUGGAAACGGUGGCUAAUACCGCAUAACGUCGCAAGACCAAAGUGGGGGACCUUCGGGCCUCACACCAUCGGAUGAACCCAGAUGGGAUUAGCUAGUAGGUGGGGUAACGGCUCACCUAGGCGACGAUCCCUAGCUGGUCUGAGAGGAUGACCAGCCACACUGGAACUGAGACACGGUCCAGACUCCUACGGGAGGCAGCAGUGGGGAAUAUUGCACAAUGGGCGCAAGCCUGAUGCAGCCAUGCCGCGUGUAUGAAGAAGGCCUUCGGGUUGUAAAGUACUUUCAGCGGGGAGGAAGGGAGCAAGGUUAAUAACCUGGUUCAUUGACGUUACCCGCAGAAGAAGCACCGGCUAACUCCGUGCCAGCAGCCGCGGUAAUACGGAGGGUGCAAGCGUUAAUCGGAAUUACUGGGCGUAAAGCGCACGCAGGCGGUCUGUCAAGUCGGAUGUGAAAUCCCCGGGCUCAACCCGGGAACUGCAUUCGAAACUGGCAGGCUAGAGUCUUGUAGAGGGGGGUAGAAUUCCAGGUGUAGCGGUGAAAUGCGUAGAGAUCUGGAGGAAUACCGGUGGCGAAGGCGGCCCCCUGGACAAAGACUGACGCUCAGGUGCGAAAGCGUGGGGAGCAAACAGGAUUAGAUA